CCUACGGGAGGCAGCAGUGAGGAAUAUUGGUCAAUGGACGAGAGCCUGAACCAGCCAAGUAGCGUGAAGGAUGACUGCCCUAUGGGUUGUAAACUUCUUUUAUAUGGGAAUAAACUGUUCCACGUGUGGGAUUUUGUAUGUACCAUAUGAAUAAGGAUCGGCUAACUCCGUGCCAGCAGCCGCGGUAAUACGGAGGAUCCGAGCGUUAUCCGGAUUUAUUGGGUUUAAAGGGAGCGUAGGUGGAUUGUUAAGUCAGUUGUGAAAGUUUGCGGCUCAACCGUAAAAUUGCAGUUGAAACUGGCAGUCUUGAGUACAGUAGAGGUGGGCGGAAUUCGUGGUGUAGCGGUGAAAUGCUUAGAUAUCACGAAGAACUCCGAUUGCGAAGGCAGCUCACUGGACUGCAACUGACACUGAGGCUCGAAAGUGUGGGUAUCAAACAGGAUUAGAUACCCUGGUAGUC
rnacentral:rRNA from 1 species